rnacentral:rRNA from 1 species
GAUCCUGGCUCAGGACGAACGCUGGCGGCGCGCCUAACACAUGCAAGUCGAACGGAGCUAUGUUGAAAGCUUGCUGGAUAUAUAGCUUAGUGGCGGACGGGUGAGUAACACGUGAGCAACCUGCCUUUCAGAGUGGAAUAACGUUUGGAAACGAACGCUAAUACCGCAUAACGUCAGAGGAUGGCAUCGUCUUUUGACCAAAGAUUUAUCGCUGAAAAAUGGGCUCGCGGCCGAUUAGGUAG